CCCGCAGCACUUGUUGUGUCUUCUUGUGGUCAUUUUGGAGCCAGAUAAGCUUUGACGAACGACACUGGAUUUAUUUUUAAUACAUUAGUGAUUUGCAGGAUUUAACAGUACUUUCUCUCAUAUAGCCUAUAUACCAAAACAUUACUUUUCUGAAAUACAUUUGAGUGUUGUCGCCUGCGCAUAGCCGUCGGACUGGCUUAUUCUGCAUUGUUUUUGGGGGCGACUGUUAUCCAGCAUAAUAGCGAGACAGAGGAAGAGAGAAGGAAACUUAUUCCACGAGCCUCUUUAGCCCGGACGGAGAUAAAUCGAGGAUAACAUUCGUAAUUACAACAAUUUUCGCAACCAGAUAAAGGUGGAGAGUCACGGAUACGUCUGGUAUCCAACAACAAGUCAACCUUCAGCCUAUCAUUAUUUUUAUUUUGGUGAUCUUAUACCGAGAAAAUUACCGUCCGUGUUCAUGCCAGAUCUGCAGCGCUUUAGUUUUCCAUACCAUAGCAUGAAUCCUUUGUUAGAGGCGAACUCGCUUCUCCAACAUCAACAGCAGCAGAACCAAGGAGGACAGAGUCAUCCGGAUUCCCCCUCAGGCCUUCUGCCCGAAUCCGUCUUCGGCUCGCUCGACCCGACGUCUUUCUUCCUGGGCGACCAUCCCGGACUGGGCUCGGAGUCUCUGCCAGGGUUCGAUUUCACCACACCCUCACAAGCUUACCUGCAUCUAAACCACUCUUAUCACCGGUCUGUGCCCCAACCUCCUGCAGCGAUGGCCCUGAGGAACGACCUGGGCUCCAAUAUCAGUGUCCUAAAGACUCUGAACUUACGGUUCCGAUGCUUUCUGGCCAAAGUGCAUGAACUUGAGCGAAGGAAUAAGAUUUUGGAGAAACAACUACAACAGGCGUUGGAUGCGAAGAACAGCUGUGAUGGGGGUUGUUCUGAAAGCGCUAGACGGGCCCAUACCCAAGAAACAGGUGUACAGACCGGGUUUGUGGGAACUAUCCCGCUCAGGCCCGGGUCACUCCCGUUCCAAAACACCAACAACUCCGCGAGACGACCCACUACCCUCUUCACGCUUGAGUCCAACAACAAAGCUGGAACAAACCCCACCGAACCGAAUCCGAAUCCGACCAUCACGGUAAGCCAAUCAACCCCGACAAUCGACUCUCCAGCCGGGUCCAAUUCAAUCACCAACGGGAAAACGGUUUUUAGUACAGGCACUGGAACCCCCACCAACCCGCCUCCCCGGUUCCUCCCCGGUACUAUCUGGUCCUACAACCAUACCCGCAAGCUCGGUUCUGGCGUGGAGACGCGCGUCACCAGCCCCGGUGUGUCCUGGGUCCAGCCGGACGGGGUCGGGGUCCAGAUUGAUACCAUUACCCCGGAGAUCAGAGCCCUGUACAACGUCCUGGCCAAAGUCAAGAGGGAGAGAGACGAGUACAAACGCAGGUGGGAGGAGGAGUACACUGUCAGAGUGGACAUGCAGCAGAAGAUGGAAGACCUACAGGAGGACCUCCAGGAGAGCGAGGGCUGUCAGGAUGAGUUGGCUGUCAGAGUGCAGCAGCUGAAGUCUGAACUGGUGCUCUUCAAAGGCCUCAUGAGCAACAACAUGUCUGAUCUGGACAGUAAGAUCCAGGAGAAGGCCAUGAAGGUGGACAUGGACAUCUGUAGACGCAUCGACAUCACGGCUCGCCUGUGUGACUUGGCCCAGCAAAGGAACUGUGAGGAUGUCAUCCAGAUGUAUCAGGUCCCUAACACCCAGUCUGCCAUCAACUGUCGCCCCCGGAAACAGACCCCGCUGUCCGUCAACAGUAGUGAGGGUGAUGAGACUAUCAGCACCUCGGAGAGCGAUGGAGGCCUGCCCAGAGAGGAGGAGCUCUGUGGCUCGUCAGCCAAUCAGAUCAAUGAGGAAAUGCAGAGGAUGCUCAACCAGCUGCGGGAGUGUGAGUUUGAAGAUGACUGUGACAGCUUGGCCUGGGAGGAGACAGAGGAGACUCUGCUGCUGUGGGAGGACUUCCCAGGAUGCACUCUGGCUCCAGAGACCACCCACCAGCCAGGAGAGCAAGAAGACCAGUGUCUGGAGAAGGUGAUUAAUGACACUGAGGACUUAUUCAAAUCCAGGGAGAAAGAAUACCAAGAGACCAUCGACCAGAUUGAGUAUGACUUGGCUACAGCUAAGAGUGAUGUGUUUCUCCCCAGUAUGACUCGGCUACAGCUAAGAGUGAUGUGUUUCUCCCCAGUAUGACUCGGCUACAGCUAAGAGUGAUGUGUUUCUCCCCAGUAUGACUUGGCUACAGCUAAGAGUGAUAUGAACCGUCACCUACAUGAAUACAUGGAGAUGUGUUCUAUGAAGAGAGGCCUGGAUGUGCAGAUGGAGACCUGCAGGAGACUCAUCACCCAGAGUGGGGACAGUAAGCCUGGCUCUCCUGUGGCUGUGGCUGGUGAGGAGAGCGUUGACCAGGCUGAGAAGGAAGGGACAACAGCGUCGCCUCCUCUCUCCAACUCUCCUCCCAGAUCAUGACCCAUCAAGACCACCUCUAUCACAUGACCGUCAUUCCAUCCAACCACAGCACCACUCCGCCGUCACUAUAGCAACGCCACGUUUCCAUUCUAACCACUAGAUUAGUCUAUUUUUAAUUUUCUUCAAGCUAUCUUCAUUCACAAGCCUCAAUAUAGGAACGUGGCAGAUCAAUCUGUUUUAGCGAGGGUGUAGUGUUGUGUUUCCAACAGAUUUUAGUCCCCUCUACUGGAAAGUGGUAUUACUAGCACCAUGGAAGUCUGUACAUAAGAACCCACUGUUUAACAGAGCAAAGGUAACGAGGUAAUGGAUUGAAAUACACAACUUGAAUUGAGAAUACCUCAUAGAAACAUAUGAGCAAUAUUUGAAUGAACUCAUAUGAGUUGUAGGCUAGCGUGUACUCUUAAGGUAGUUGUUGGUACUACAGAGAACCAUGGUAUUAACUCCUAUAGCAUGAUCCAUUUCCACACAGCCAUAAUGAUAAACACACCACACACACACACACCAAUAGAUUCAUGUCAGGCUAGCAUAGCAGAUCAUUCUAACAGUGUGCUGCUGUCCUGUUGCAACAUUAUGAGGGUUGUUUUCAAACUCACCUAGAAGUAUAACACAGUAAAUAUAAGCCUUAGGGUGUGUUCGUAAAUUCACUGGAGUGCCAGGGUGCGCUCUGGGCGUUCGUAAAUUCAAAGCAUUGUCAGAUUGUCCGUUCGUAAAUUCGGAGUGUUUCGCUCCGGCCGAGGAGUAGGGUUGAUCCGAGCCUUCUGACCUCACAACGGCAGUCAAGCACUCAAUCUAACAGACUAACGUUGGCUAGCUUGCUAGCUUCUUCCAGACAUAAAUGAGAGAACACCGCACUCUGACUAUUUUACUCAUUCUAGCAGAGCUGGUUAGGCUGUUUUUGUUAUCCAGAGUGUUGGUGACUGUAACUGUGAUGCUGGCAACAAUUUCAUUACGCUUUUUUGCCUACGUUUACUGACACCGGCCAUAUUCAAUGUGUGUUGAGCGUUAGUAAAUUCAUCAAAUGAGCGUGCUCUGAAAUCGGACUAGAUAGCCAGAGACAAUUUACAAAGCAAAGCCUAGUUGGCAAGAGAGAUAAACUCUAGAUGAAUCACUUUAUUAGCAACAAAACAGAAAUAUAACGUUACUGUACUGGACUAAAAUAAUAUCAAAUCACAAAUUUUAUCAAACAUCUACACUUCAUUCAUAUGUAUCAAUGAAAACUAGAAAAAAGUCAAAUAGUAAACUAAACUCUAAGAUGCAGUCACUCAGAUGGCGACAAUGAUAUCCCUGUGUGUGAUUCUGAACUCACAUUUUGAAACAAAAGCCUGCCAGUCUCUCUGCCCUUUUGUUGACACCAGACAGGUUGUCAUGGUAACAUUAUUUCACCGUCCUGUUUCACUUACCUGGUAUUUACUAAGGAAUUAUUGGAUAACAUUGUGUAACAUUGUAUUCUUUCUUCAACACAACUGGUAACUAACUACCUGGUACUAAAUGUUACAUAGUGGUGCUUGUUUCACUGAAUCCCAAAGAACCCCAAAAGUAGUUUUAUUGUAAUUAUAAUGUAAUACCAUUUUACUGUGUCGAGUAAAUGGCAACUAUGGUGAGAAAAGUUCGCUAGAGCACAUAAUGAUCUGGGACCAGGCUAGUCAUAGGCUCUGUGUCGGCUCUAUAUGUGGUAGUGCAGUGUGAAUAGUGUAAAUACUCUGUUAAAGCUGAUCUGAGGUCAGCUCUGGGGCCUUGUCCUGAUCUCUGUGUGUCUCUGUCAUUGACACAGGGAGAGGGAUACAUAUGACAAAGGGCAUUGACACCCAAGUGUUAUUAUACCUACGAGCUGUCUAAUGUAUACUAAUGUUUUGUUUAGUUUCCAGCAGCAGAGAGCAGAGGAAGGCCCUGCUACUCUGUCCUCCAGCAAGGAGAUAGGUAGGCUCGGAUAUGAGAAGUUAGAUAGGAGAGAUUUGUGUAUCUGUUCUGUACUCUCUAUUUCUAUGUGCUGUAGUCUGAUCUGGUUGGUAAGGACUCAAAUGCAUCAGUAGUAUUGUAUCAGAGAGAAAUGGAAGAUUGAUGAACAGGCUAUAAAAGACAGAAUGUCCACAGAUGAACAAAUAGACAGACAGACAGACAGAUGAAUGUACAGUACGGAUAGAUUGACAGAUUAAUGAAUCGAUGGAUAGAAUGAUGACCUGCUGAGAUCAUUUAUGUUUGCUACUUGAGUGUCAAAGCAACUGAAAACAAGCAAUCUGAAUGAACUUUGAGAAAUAUUGCUGAAACAUUGUAAUAGAAGUACUAAAUACUGAUGCUGAAAAGCUAUCUGACACGGUGCUUGAUAUGAUCUAACCUAUUUUUGAGCUUAAAAGUUAGCCGUUUAUAAAGAAAGAGCAAAGCAAAUAUGUAUAUUCAAUAAUACAGCAGUAACAGCAGUAAUAACAGUAUUUAAUGUCACAGAAGAAUAAGAAUGAUAUGUACAGAAGUAGGAUCUUAAUUUGAUCACUUUUGUUGCUUAGAUUAUUCCUGUUCUAAAAAGGCUUCUAAAGUUUGUAAUUUCCACUUUGAAAUUUCGGACUUGAUUUUCCCUAAUGAAAAAUGCAUCAACCCCUACAAAAUUGGCCAUUAAUUAUAAUCCACGUAAUAAAUCACAUUUCCUGUUGCUGCAGAAUUUUUUCCUGCUGUAGCAAAAUGGCUCAAAUUAAGUUUCUACAUCUGUAAUAAUUCGAACUCGUACACGUCACGAAUGUAAACAAUUAUUGAAGGAAAACUUAUUUUAUUUUCUCCACUUGUCACUUCAUGUUUGUAGAUGUGACAAAAUAGUGAAAUUGUUAGAGCUGAGGAGUAGAUUUCCUCUCUGUUAAUUCAACAUACACUAUGUUAUUAUACAGUAGAAUGUAGAUGUACAAUACAUUUUUGUUCCUCUUCCUUGACAUUGAAAUAUGCAUUACUUUGAGCAUAAAACACUCGCUUACCUCAGAUUAACAAUAUUUAAUAACUCUUUACUUUGAGUAUUAAACACUCUCUUACCUCAGAUAAACAAUAUUUAAUAACUCAAUAAUAGAACACAAGGAUUCCUUCACAAAUACUAUCUCUUUAUCAACAACCAAAUGGAGGCUUCAGUUUAGUUCAUUUCAUUUGUGUUUCUUUCUUUUUCUUGUUUGAUGAGGAAGAUGUUUAAUCAGGUGCCGUCUGCUGGUCACACCUCAAUAUUCUAGUAUUGUAGAAGGGUUUCCAAGGCUUUCUCUGAACGAUUAUAUAGGUUGUGAAGAACAGGUUUUGGAACCAUGAAAAAAUGAUAUGCAUGUCUUAAGCUAUGUAUUGGAUAUGCCAUUCCUUGGGUGUUUCUCCUGACCACAUGACCUAGGUUCUAGACCUGGCUAUUCAACUCUUAGACUACAAGAUCCGGAGCCUGCUGCUUUUCUGUUCUACCUGAUUUACUAAUUGCACCACCUGGUGUCCCAGGUCUAAAUCAGUCCCUGAUUAGACGGGAACAAUGAAAACAUGCAAUGGACCUGGCUUUGAGGUCCAGAGUUGAGUUUGAGGGUCCUGUGCUAUAAUGCUUGGGUUUUUUCUGCUCGGGUCAUAUGGCCAGUAAAACUCCUGGCCCUAGCGUUCCUGCCCUUUGGCCAGAACUGGAGAAUAAAAUGGAGAAUAGAAGGCAGCAGAGAAAUAGUGAGAAUAUGUUUUUCUUUGUAUAUUUUACUACACGCACAGAGAGACACAGUCUCUGCAGUAUGUAUGCAUGAGUCAGCGUGUAUGUUUAGGAGAGUGUUCUAAUGUCCUUGGUUUUUAAAAAGAGUUUUACUGGUUCACUUACCACAUGAAGAAUGCAAUAGUCCUAAAAUGCACACUGUAUUCCAGUGUCUGUCUGACAAUAGACAAAUUCAUAUCCUCUUCACAACUGAACUGAAGGCUAACGGUAUAACUGAAUCAUUGUAAACUAGAGUGGUAGGGACCAUACAGUGAUGUGUUCUGCUGACUGGAUUCCCAUCUCUACAAAUCGCCUUGAAAUACUGUAUAUAUAUAUAAAUCAAAGAUGUACAAUAAUCGCUCUAAUAUUCCAACAAUAAUCCACUUUCUUCAUGAGUGUAUGUGAUUACAAAGUAAAUUCUUUUUAAAAAUGGCACCAAAGUGUAAAAAAAAAAAAGAAGAUUACUACUCAAAUGCUUUAACAUAAUGAUGGUAUGAUUGCUAUGAUAUUGUAUGCAUUAAAGGAAAACGCUAUGUUGGAUAUAUUGUAUGUUUAAACACUGGCAAUGCAAGGAGGUCCACAGUCAGAAAUACUUAAGUGUCAGGUUCCCAGAUUUGGCACAUAGCUGAACUUUUAAUGUGGAUGGAGAUAUUUGAUUGGUCCUUAAUAUUUCUCAUAGACCAGGAGCCAAUGCUCUUGCUCUGUGAGGACCAGUGUAUUCUCUGGUCCAUAUAUUUUACCAUCAACUAAUUCCAUCUGGCCUGAGUAAGCUAGCAUGCAGGUGAAUAGACUGAGUUGUCAAUGAGAAGACUGUUAGGAAUCACCAAGGCCUCAUUUACUAAGCAUCUGCACCAGUGCCAUGUUUACACCUGCUCGGUUCAAAAGGGAACGAGUCAUUGAACAAAAGGUCAAGGGACAAGAAAAGUCUGUUUUCUGUUUCUAUCUUUGUAUCUCAUCUUAUAAUUCCCUCCGAAAAGAGCAAGUGUAAACAUUGCACUGCUUGGUAAAUCAGGCCUUGGUUUUUGUUUUGGUGAGGUGUGAGUUCUGUGAAACUGGACUGUCCCCUUGAACAUGUGUGCUUCAUCACAGAGCUCUGUGUACUGACAGAGAGUUCAUCACAGAGCUCUGUGUACUGACAGAGAGUUCAACGCAGAGCUCUGUGUACUGACAGAGAGUUCAUCACAGAGCUCUGUGUACUGACAGAGAGUUCAACGCAGAGCUCUGUGUACUGACAGAGUUCAACGCAGAGCUCUGUGUACUGACAGAGAGUUCCACGCAGAGCUCUGUGUACUGACAGAGAGUUCCACGCAGAGCUCUGUGUACUGACAGAGAGUUCAACGCAGAGCUCUGUGUACUGACAGAGAGUUCCACGCAGAGCUCUGUGUACUGACAGAGAGUUCCACGCAGAGCUCUGUGUACUGACAGAGAGUUCAACGCAGAGCUCUGUGUACUGACAGAGAGUUCAACGCAGAGCUCUGUGUACUGACAGAGAGUUCCACGCAGAGCUCUGUGUACUGACAGAGAGAUGGAAUGAAGAAUAAAAGAUACAGCUGAGCAA